rnacentral:rRNA from 1 species
UGCCAGCCGCCGCGGUAAUACGAAGGGUGAAAGCGUUGUUCGGAUUUAUUGGGCGUAAAGCGCGCGCAGGCGGAUAGGUAAGUCAGGUGUGAAAUCUCGGGGCUCAACCCCGAAACUGCGCCUGAAACUAUCAAUCUAGAAUCUCGGAGAGGGAAGGGGAAUUUCGCAUGUAGGGGUAAAAUCCGUAGAGAUGCGAAGGAACACCAGAGGCGAAGGCGCCUUCCUGGACGAGUAUUGACGCUGAGGCGCGAAAGCGUGGGGAGCAAACAGGAUUAGAUA